rnacentral:rRNA from 1 species
GUGGGGAAUAUUGGACAAUGGGCGGAAGCCUGAUCCAGCCAUGCCGCGUGUGUGAAGAAGGCCUUUUGGUUGUAAAGCACUUUAAGCGAGGAGGAGGCUCCUUUAGUUAAUACCUAAAGUGAGUGGACGUUACUCGCAGAAUAAGCACCGGCUAACUCUGUGCCAGCAGCCGCGGUAAUACAGAGGGUGCGAGCGUUAAUCGGAUUUACUGGACGUAAAGCGUGCGUAGGCGGCUUUUUAAGUCGGAUGUGAAAUCCCUGAGCUUAACUUAGGAAUUGCAUUCGAUACUGGAAAGCUAGAGUAUGGGAGAGGAUGGUAGAAUUCCAGGUGUAGCGGUGAAAUGCGUAGAGAUCUGGAGGAAUACCGAUGGCGAAGGCAGCCAUCUGGCCUAAUACUGACGCUGAGGUACGAAAGCAUGGGGAGCAAACAGGAUUAGAAACCCUGGUAGUCC